AAAUUUCAAAAAAAAAAAAAAAAAAUCUGUUUUUAUCAGUUUAAUAUCUGAUACGUCCCCUACCCGGGGACCAUAUAUUAAAUUGAUUUUUGGAACUGGGAGAUGGAAUAGGGGCUUGCUCCGUCCACUGCACGCAUCGACCUGGUAUUGCAGUACCUUCCAGGAAUGGUGCACCCCCC
rnacentral:snRNA from 1 species